GGGGGCUUAGUUAAGUGGUAUAACACCUCUCUCCAAAAGAGAAGUUGGGGGUCCGAUUCCCUCAGCCCCUGCAA
rnacentral:tRNA from 1 species